CGAAGGGGGCUAGCGUUGCUCGGAAUUACUGGGCGUAAAGGGAGCGUAGGCGGAUAGUUUAGUCAGAGGUGAAAGCCCAGGGCUCAACCUUGGAAUUGCCUUUGAUACUGGCUAUCUUGAGUACGGAAGAGGUAUGUGGAACUCCGAGUGUAGAGGUGAAAUUCGUAGAUAUUCGGAAGAACACCAGUGGCGAAGGCGACAUACUGGUCCGUUACUGACGCUGAGGCUCGAAAGCGUGGGGAGCAAACAGGAUUAGAUACCCUGGUAGUCCACGCUGUAAACGAUGAGUGCUAGUUGUCGGCAGGCAUGCCUGUCGGUGACGCAGCUAACGCAUUAAGCACUCCGCCUGGGGAGUACGGUCGCAAGAUUA
rnacentral:rRNA from 1 species